ensembl:miRNA MIR30F microRNA mir-30f
GAGGGCCAGAUACUGUAAACACCCUACACUCUCAGCUGUGCACAGUGAGAAAGCUGGGAGGAGGCUGUUUACUCUCUCUGCCUU